rnacentral:misc_RNA from 1 species
UGAAGAGCCAACUCUCGAGUGGGAACAAGGAUAACAACUUGGAUUACAUUGUUAUCCUGAUCGAUCUUUUCCAAUGCAGGAAUGCAAAAUGCAGCUGUCUUUCCAGUUCCGUUCUUUGCUCUAGCAAGAAUAUCACUACCAGUUAAAGCAAUUGGAAUACUUUCUUCUUGAAUAGGAGAUGGUCUUUCAAAGCCUUUCUCAUAGAUUCCCAUGAGUAAUUCACGUUUUAAAAAAUAGUCCUCGAAUUCAUUUCCCUUGGUAGCCGUCACAUCCUCUGUUUUAUAGCGUGUAUCAGGUGGUGGAAUUUUUAGCCUUGCCUUCCAAUCUUGUGAACUCGAGUCAACAGCCUCCGACUGCACGGUCUUCUCAACCUCGUCGACGUUGGAAUCAGCAGGACCGCCACCUAACUGGUUCCUUUUCAGCCACUGUUGGUGUUGUUGAAGCUGUUGGUGUUGGUGCUGGUUUUGAGGGUGCUGUUGUUGAUACUGCUGAUUGGGCACCAAAUUUCUUUGUACGUAUUGCUGCUGGUGUGACCUUGACUGAAACGAAGGGUUCGCAUUCACGCCUCCGCCCCGUCCAGCGCCGAUCCCAG